GACGAACGCUGGCGGCGUGCCUAAUACAUGCAAGUUGAGCGCUGAAGGUUGGUACUUGUCCCAACUGGAUGAGCCGCGAACGGGUGAGUAACGCGUGGGGAAUCUGCCUUUGAGCGGGGGACAACAUUUGGAAACGAAUGCUAAUACCGCAUAAAAACUUUAAACACAAGUUUUAAGUUUGAAAGAUGCAAUUGCAUCACUCAAAGAUGAUCCCGCGUUGUAUUAGCUAGUUGGUGAGGUAAAGGCUCACCAAGGCGAUGAUACAUAGCCGACCUGAGAGGGUGAUCGGCCACAUUGGGACUGAGACACGGCCCAAACUCCUACGGGAGGCAGCAGUAGGGAAUCUUCGGCAAUGGACGAAAGUCUGACCGAGCAACGCCGCGUGAGUGAAGAAGGUUUUCGGAUCGUAAAACUCUGUUGGUAGAGAAGAACGUUGGUGAGAGUGGAAAGCUCAUCAAGUGACGGUAACUACCCAGAAAGGGACGGCUAACUACGUG
rnacentral:rRNA from 1 species